UAUGAAACGUUUGAGUAGGAAUAGUAGUGAUGUUCAUCUGAACAAGAGAAUUGGCGGUAGGUGCAAGCCAAUCGGAUCCAUCAUGAACUCGCCUAUUAGUUGCAAAUGUGAACGGGAACACCCAAGUAAUCUUUGCCGUUUUCCGCGUUAAGGAUGAAUGAAGCGAGUGCAUGCACUAAUUUGGGUGGUACCGCGGGAGUAUAAGUUAACCUCUCGUCCCUAUU
rnacentral:ncRNA from 1 species